GUGUGCACUGGGGACGUUAAUAAAAUAAUCUAUCAUGCGCGAAUCGAAUUUAAACAGUGAUAAAACAAUUUUUUAAGGGUAUUUUCUUACAGAGCCUAUAAACAACUUGUGUAAAACAGGUUUUUAAUCUCUUAUUGGUGGUGGAGUAUUUUGUACUAAACACAAUGGAUCCAAAUGAUGCCUGGGAUGCAUAUGAUGCUAGUAUGGCUGCUUCCGAACCUCCACCUACUCAAAACUAUGCAAGUUCUAGUAGACCUAAAGCUAGAAGUGUUUAUACUAAUACGAAUAGAUGGCUGGAAAACUCAUAACACCACACACUCAGAUGUUUGCAUAAAAAUAAUAUUAUUUUGAUUAAUAAUAAUAAUAAUUAUUAUUAUUAUUUGAUUAACAACAUCAAAGUUCCAUCUGAUAAAGUGGGGAGAAUUAUUGGUAAAGGUGGUUCUAAAAUUCGUGAUUUAGAGUACAAAACUGAGACAAAGAUCCUAAGUGGCCAAUCGAAAGGUUCAGAGUAUGUUAUUACUGUGUGGUGAUCUGAUAAUAGUAUUAGUAAAGAACAGCAAAAAAAAAAGAAACCUAACAGAAGAGUGGAAGCCUCCAGUAAGAAAAUCAUUUAAUACUGCUACAAAUUCUAUUCAACCUGGUCCAAGUUUGACCCCAAUAAAUAUAUGGUGAUAAAUGAGUUUGGAGAGGAAAUUCUGGACGUUUCACCAUUAAAAGCACAUUAUAAUGUGGUGAAGAAAGAGAGAUGAGUAAACCACCCUCCAAUUGUGAAGAAUGUCUGCAAUGAAGACCCCAAAAUUCAGGAUAUGACUCAAUUUGAAGUGGCCCAAUGGAGAAAAAUUAACAAGGACAUACUCAUACAAGUUAGUAGAAGAGAGAGAAUUUGUAGAUAAACCUGACCUCAGGGCAAUUCCAAAUCCGGUUCUUAAGUUUGAACAUGCAAUCCGUAAUUAUUCUGAAAUUCUGGAACAAAUAUAUAAACAGAGUUUUACACAACCAUCACCAAUUCAGAUUCUACCCUGGCCAAUCCUAUUAAGAGAAGAUAUGAGAGAGAGAUCUCUUUAACUCACAUUAUAUUUGCAGUUUUAGUGUAUAUCAUAUAACGAUAAAUGAAACGCAAAAUAAAGAGGAGAUACUGGGUGAGACCUAGUCUACAAAACAGGCAUAACAUGAAGAAGAAUGAAACAAAGAAGUGCUCAUCCGAAUUUUUGUCAAGCUUUGAUAUUGUCUUUAUCUUAUUUACUUUAUUUUAUUAUAUAAAGGUAAAUAAGAUUUAAUUUAAUCAAUUAAUAAUGUCCACUUUAAAAUACAUACCUGAUAUAAAGUCAACAAUAAUUGACUAUUCAUUACUCGGUCAGUAUUAUAAAGAUAACAAGUUUGUUACAAAUUCCUAGCUCAGAAGAAGAGUGGUUAUCAACUUCUUCAACUUUCAUGUUGAAAUGGAACUUACCCAAUUGCUUAGGCAAAAUUAAUAAAUAGCACAUUCGUUUACAAUGCCCAAAUAGGAACAGCUCUAUUUUUUUUAAUUAUAAGUCAUAUUUUAGUAAUGUUUUGCUAGCAUUUGUUGACGCUAAUUGUAACUUUUUGUAUGUGGAUGUCGGUUGCCAGGGAAGAAUAUCUGACGGUGCUAUUCUGCGUAAUUCUACUUUGUGUCAUAUAAAACAAAAUAGAUCUGUUUAUCUGCCACAAGCUCACAACAGCAUUAGAGGAGAGAAAUACACCGGUACUUUUU